rnacentral:rRNA from 1 species
CAGCAGCCGCGGUAAUACGUAGGGGGCAAGCGUUAUCCGGAAUUACUGGGUGUAAAGGGAGCGUAGGCGGCACGCCAAGCCAGAUGUGAAAGCCCGAGGCUUAACCUCGCGGAUUGCAUUUGGAACUGGCGAGCUAGAGUACAGGAGAGGAAAGCGGAAUUCCUAGUGUAGCGGUGAAAUGCGUAGAUAUUAGGAAGAACACCAGUGGCGAAGGCGGCUUUCUGGACUGAAACUGACGCUGAGGCUCGAAAGCGUGGGGAGCAAACAGGAUUAGAUACCCUGGUAGUCCACGCCGUAAACGAUGAGUGCUAGGUGUCGGGGAGGAAUCCUCGGUGCCGCAGCUAACGCAAUAAGCACUCCACCUGGGGAGU